AAGCACACACAGGCGCUUUAAUGAAUCAGCCUGUCAAUAAAAAUAUCGUCAGAUUGAAUUCAUUGGGUGAUCCAAAAUUGGACCAAGGCUUCCAAAAAAAACAAAACAAAGCCACAAUCCAAAAACAAAAGCAGGUCCACCAUUUUAAUUCCUUCCUAUGCUCUCAGUGCAACUCUUCAUUAAACUAAAGUCCAGAAAGUAAUCUUGCUAAGCAGACAUAUUCUUAUUGCUUUCACAAGUCACACUGUGUCUUAAGGGUUGCAUUUUCUCCAAUACCUAUUACCAAGAUGGCAUAAAACCAACAGCAUCACCUACUGCAUAAAAUAAGGGUAUUGAAACGAAAGGCAGUGAGGGCACCUGCCAACUGGAAGUUUAUGAAAAGCAACUACAAGCAAGGGCCUUGUACAUUUAAUUAAACAUUGCCAUCAUGGUUUAGCAUUGGAACGAGAAGUUACAAGAACAAGAUCAUAUCCUUUAAAAAUAGACACUGCUGUAAUUGGAUUGGCUGGAUUUUAAUUUCUUCACUAAUCUGGCUGUUGUUGGACUGGACACAGGCACAUGCACUUAAUGGGCAGGAGGUUUCAUUAAAUGCUCAUCGUUUAAAAAGGGAGCCAGAAAAAACAGCAGGGACAACAAUCUAAGGCUUGGGGUGGGAAAUGGGAUUAUUCUGGGUGGUAGAAUCAUGUAUGUAUUAAUUACCAUUGGCUGGCAGAAAUACUGAGAGUUUUUUAAACUUUGCUAAUCUUUAAAUGUAACUUCACCUUAUAAAGUAAAAACAGCUGAUGAUCCCAAGUCAUUAACAGACCACUUGUAUAUUUCAGUUACAAAUAUAUUUUAAAGCUGCCCUACAAGUUAUUGUGUCUGUUUUGUUUUUUAAAGAUUUACCAUGACCUAAAUUCAUUUGUGCAUUUGUUCAGCUACUUCUAGCAUCAACCGUUGUAGAGGAGCUGCAUUGCUGUGUGCUCAUGAGGUCAUCAGGUGUAGUAAGGGAAAUAAAGCCAGAAGGGUCCUGGUAGGUAAAUGAAAAAGGAAUAAUUUAAAGUAAGCUUAAACAUUAAAAUGUGUGUUUGUGUUUAAUACUACGCAAAUGCAGUCUGCUGUUAAUGAUGUGGAUUGUUAAGAAUUGAUCGUAAAUUUUUAAUACUUCACCUCACCUUUAAAUGUAAAGUUCGAACCUAUUUCAAGAGUAGAGCUGUUAAAGCGAUAUGAACUGAUUAUAAAAUCAAAGAAAAGCAAUGCCAUCUAGAGGAGAAGCAUUGUCUUACAGAAAAUCACGAUCCAAUCAGUGGCCCAGUCUCAAAGAAGAGGUGCAGUGCAUGUAAAAGGGCUGUAUUUUGGGUUUACACUUUGUUGAAAUGCACAGUACCAUUCUGAGGGUAAACAAUUCAGUCUCUUUCCAUGACUAAAUAUAAUUAAACAUUUACAAUUCGAUGCAUAUUAUUUUGUUGCAAAGGAAGCUGACAGCUACACUAAAGCUAUUGCUUUUACAUUGUAAAAUUAUGCAUCCAGCCACUGCUUUAGAUCCAAGUAUAUUAAAGAUUUUCCCAUCAACAGAAGCUAGAGGCACAAUUCUAGGCCAGCCCAGUUGUUUGACAAGAUGCUGAGCGGAUGGACACUUGAGUUUGAGCUGUGGGAUUUCAGAUUAGAGGAAAUACUGUACUGGCUCCUAUCUGCUGUGGAGAAGACACUCGGCCUCAUGGUGAGUAAAGGAUAGAGGUGAGUGUUCACAUUAUCUGCGUUCUUUGAUAGGCAGCAUAGAUGAAUGUCUUGCCAUCAGCUCAAAAACUAGAGACCAAAUUUGACUACUUCAUACCCAAUAAAACAUGCAAUGGAAUAGAGGGGUCAGUAGUAAGCAAACUCCAUGUCAGCAACAAUUAUAAACUCUUCCACUUCCCACAAAGUUUUAAUGUCCUUUCACCCAUGUGGAGCAGGGGCCAACUUAGACUCUUGAUUAUGAUCAUCUACCUUUUUAUCCUCUUGGUGUAGGGAAGAAUCCAUAUUUACAAGCACUGUGGAAAUCAUCCAAUAGGCACCUUCCUCUCAUCUUUCCGGAUAUAUCACACUUGUUUCCAGCAGAUUGAACUGACACUGCGCUAGUAAAAAUGAGUCCAGCCACUGCAGCCCUGCCUACAGCUGAACUGGUAGAUGACACCUAGUAUAUACAAGGUGCCCUUGCCAGCAGUGAGACAUUUUUAUCAUUAUGUCAAUUAAAUCUGCUGAAAGUGAGUUUCAAGAAAGGGAAUGCAGCACCAAUGAGUCUGCCUUUCUGGGGAACCCACAGCAAGAGCUAGCCAACAACAGCAGAGUUACCAGUCCCACACACCACAGUUGCCGCAACAAGGCAACAACCAGCUGCCUUUUAGGGGGUAUACUUUUCUGCCCCCUCUUGAGAAUCGCCCCCAACUCAUCUCUCCAGGAGGCAGGAGUUGGGAAUAAAACAGCAUUACGUCUAAGACUGGGCAUUGACUCCAGAUGGGUUAAAAAGUUUCCUCUACACAAAACUGAAGGAGUGUCAAGAAGCCAUGCAAAGUAGCUGAGUUUUAACAUCUCCCCCUCUUCGUGGGUGGAAUCAGCUGUAGGUUACCAUUUAAAUAGCGUGGGGAGUAUGAAAGGGCUUUCCUGCUCUCCUUAAAGGAGCACAACUCAGAUAUUAGAAACAUACAACUAAAGAGUCCAGGUAGUGAAAAGAAGGUAAUUAGACAGGUGGAUUAUAAUUUACAGUAGCCACCGUAGUUCCUUCUAAUAAAAUUUUUAAAAAGCUGAACUCUUAUGAUAAGAAAAAUAUUGAAAGUUUAAAUCUCAAAGUCAAGAAGUUCGGUUACUUUACGUAGAUACCCAUGGUUGUUGGAAAUACCGCUCCAAGGCCUACAUUAGCAAUGGAAACUCAUUGGCCAGACAAAUUAGAGGGUGGCUGUGAUGACUGAAUACUUCUAUGGGAGGCAAAGACAGGGAAGAAGCAACUAUCCUUCCCCCAACAAUCCCUUCCCCGUUAGCCUAGCCAGAGUAGGGAGGAUUUUCAGUGACUUAAUUCUGCUCCCACUCAGCUCAAUGGGAGCUUAAGGGUUGUCUACACAAGAAAAAUUUCCAGCAUAGUUAUCUAUACUGUAAAACUCCCCACGUGAAUGCUUAUUCUAGAAAAAGAGCGUUCACACAGAAAGUUAUCAGUAUAACUAUAGCGGUAUAAUUAUGUUGGUAGAUUUCCCCAUGUAGGUAAAACUGAAAAGUUACCAAAUUCCUUGCAUCAUAGGUUAACACAACAAUUACAUCUCAACGGCAAAUUCACAAUUGCCUACUAAAAUAAGAGUACAAUCCAUGCUGGCCAUGCUUCAGAGCCAAAGACUAUGCAGUGAAGUGCAAGGUUUACAAGGAAUGCUAAGAAGGGUCAUUAAACAGAAGCCAGAGUGCCAGAAUUUAACAAGCUGACUCAAUAAAUGCCUUGCCCUGUAUUGUUAAACCUUAAUCCCUAUAAAAUAAUCCAUGGCUGAGGUUUAAGUAAUGUUAACUGGCACCAAACACAUAAGCUUUUGAAGUUUUAAAUAUUGCCACAUUUUAUAAUAUGUAACCAAUAUAAAAUUAUGGGACACACUCCGUAUCUUUUUCAAGUAGUCCCGUUGAUCUCAAAGCAACCACUCAUAGAUACAAGAUGACACAAUCUCACCAUAUCUGAUUAAACUAUGGCACAGAAGCAAGAAAAGGUUUUCUACCAAAAUUAAAUUUCAUUAAAUAUUCAUUUAGAUGGACUGUAGCAAUCAAAGCUGACCUGACUAGUGUAUUACAAGGACUAUUUUAAACUCAUCAGAAAGUCAUAUUUUGAUAUUUCAAUUACUAACAUUGGAAAUAAAUAUACAUACAGAGUUAAGGAGAACAAUCUAGCCUAUGUCAGGGGCCAUCCUGUUGUUUGGGGUUUGCAUCAUGCCUAGCACAAUGGGGUGCUGGUGUAUCACUGGGGCACUCGGAGACACCACCGCCAUAUAAAUAAUAAUGUACAAAUUGUAGCCGAGGAUAAAAGGUAUCCGGUAUAUUUAGUAUAUAGAAGUGAAGCAAGUAUUAAUUAAUAGUUUAACACAAGGCCUACAUGCCUCAGGCCUGUAAAAUAUUUAGCUUAGCCAAAUUAGGCUUUAGUAUAAAUUAAGUUAAUAAUAAACCUGCUGAGCUUGUGUUUAGGUUUGUGAUACGCUGAUGUUUUGAAAAUAACUGCUGAGUGAUAAAGUGAGGUAAAUGCUAAUAAGUAGGAGAGGAACUUACAAGUUAGCCUGUGCAAAGCAGGGAACCCCAAAUACAGUGAGGUGUGGAAGUGCAAAUAAGGAAAAGGGGUUAAAACCUUCAUAAAUACAUAUGAACACUAGUGGACAUCAGCCUAUGAUGUCAGAAAAGCUGUCUCCUGGCUCGUGCGCCUUGGUGUGGGAAGACAACAAAAUGAUGACCACUAGUGGUGGUGAUGACAGCGAGGAUGAAGAACAACACUUCAGGCUUUUCCGCAAGGCCUAAUGUGAGUAACGCAAAUACCAUCAUUCUGGAUUGGUUGGUCUCUCCUUUACCAGACUGCAGUGUGUGUACUGUUUGGUUAGCUAAUAAAAGUAAUUAGUAUAGAAAAAUCACUGUUGCAUCUCUGUUGUGCACUAUGGGGUGGGCUCUCUUCUACUGAUAACCUCUCUACUAUAGUCAAUCUUGGGGGCUCAACUAUCCCAGAUUAAAAUAGGUGUAAACCUCCAUCUUUAGGUGGGUAAUUAGUUAAAGCAACCCAUAACUAUAGAUAAGUCUACAAAACUACGUGCAGAACAAAAGCUAACCAAGAACCAUCUCAAGUACAAACUCUUUAUGAAGUAUACAUAGAUAUCUGUUCUUAAAUUAAGGUGAAAUUCAAGAUAAGGAGUUUCCUCUUUGGGAAAACUGGGUGACCUUCAGCUUCCUGCAUGCCCUCCUGUUCAGACAGGCUUUGUUAUGGAACUCUCGGAUCUGAUUUAUUUGACACUGUGUCUCUGAUUCACCAGUGUGGCCCUCCCAUCUAUACAGAUGGCCCAUGCAGAUGAAUGGAACAGGACAUCAAUCUAGGUUACAUUUCAGUCCCAUUUUUAGCUCUCUCUUGGUGAGGCUGCUUUGUCAAUAUUA